AGACUGAUCCCAGCCAUGCCCGCGUGCCAGGAUGAAAGGUCCUAUGGAAUUGUAAUCUGCUUUUGUAAGGCAAAGAAUAAAGGAGUACGUGUACUUUGAUGACGGUACCUUACGAAUAAGCAUCGGGCUAAACUCCGUGCCAGCAGCCGCGGGUAAUACGGAGGGAUGCGAGCGUUAUCCGGAAUCAUUGGGUUUAAAGGGUCCGUAGGCGGGCUGAUAAGUCAGAGGUGAAAGCGCUUAGCUCAAACUAAGCAACUGCCUUUGAAACUGUCAGUCUUGAAUGAUUGUGAAGUAGUUGGAAUGUGUAGUGUAGCGGUGAAAUGCUUAGAUAUUACACAGAACACCGAUAGCGAAGGCAUAUUACUAACAAUUUAUUGACGCUGAUGGACGAAAGCGUGGGGAGCGAACAGG
rnacentral:rRNA from 1 species